GUCAUUGUGGUAUAGUGGUGAGUAUCCCCGCUUGUCAUGCGGGAGACCCAGGUUUGAUCCCCGGCAACGGCG
rnacentral:tRNA from 1 species